rnacentral:rRNA from 1 species
UACGUAGGGUGCGAGCGUUAAUCGGAAUUACUGGGCGUAAAGUGUGCGCAGGCGGCCGCGCAAGUCGAGUGUGAAAGCCCCCGAGCUUAACUUGGGAAUUGCGCUCGAAACUACGUGGCUGGAGUGUGGCAGAGGAAGGUGGAAUUCCAGGUGUAGCGGUGGAAUGCGUAGAGAUCGGGAAGAACAUCAGUGGCGAAGGCGGCCUGCUGGGCUGUUGCUGACGCUGAGGCGCGACAGCGUGGGGGAGCAAACAGG